rnacentral:ncRNA from 2 species
UAAUACUGCCUGGUAAUGA